AUAAAUUUCUACUGUUUAGGAGCCACCCAGUCUGUGAUAUUUUGUUAUAGCAGCCCAAACAAAGACACUGCCUUUAUGGAAUUUAUAGUCCUUGGAAUAUAUUCUGUGACUUAGUUUUCUGUCUGAAAAAUGUGUCUUAAAAAUAUGUAGCAAUUACACUGACAUUAGCUACCGCUUAGUGAGUGUAAACUAUGUGUGUGACACCAGUCUUAUCCCUUAAUCAUAUUAUCUCAUUCUACACUCCCAAUAGAACUAAGAGGAAAAUGCCUGGCAGCAGUAUGAAAGAUGAAUCAGAAAGAGGAGAGAAUGAAGCAGGUGAAUCAGAGGCUGAAUCUCAGUGUGAAUAAAUCAAAGUGGAAAAGCCCAUCUCUUCCAAGCUAAGAAGAAACAAUCAAGAGAGACCUCUCUAUUCUUCAGUUUCAGAAGCUCCACACCUCCUUGCUCCCCUCAGCUCACCUCCUUUUCGAAGACAGCUUGCUGCUGACACCUCACUGCUGACUUCCACAGCCGGCCUCAGCAAACUGUCCCUGGCAAAGCCUCAUGCACUUGGAGGUGCUUGUCAGAGGCGGCCUAGGAUUGGACCUUCCCUUGCGGGAGCUUCCAAAACACCUUCCUCUGCACAGGGGUCAUAAGUUCAGACACAGAAUGAUCCGUGGUAGCACUUUCUCCCUCUGAAAGGAAAUUUCACAGAGACAAGGGAAGAAAUCUAGACUGGAGCAACCAACUGGAGAUUAGAAACUGAAAGUAGGUCUGGAUGAGGAAGAUUGGAGCUGUUGAUAGCAGCAGAAUUCUGAAUUCUCAACCAUUCUUGAGUAAAUGGUGAAAAGAAAAGUCAUAAAGAUUAAUCAUUUCUGACGCUAAAGGAGGCGUUUGUUUUAUUGGCCACCAGAUACGUAUAUAAUCCUUUCCCUUUCUUCUUCCACAGUGCUGUUCUAGAGCAAAGGCAUGGGAGGAAAGGAGGAGACCGAGUAGGGAGGGGUGGAGGCCAGUCUUCAGGGGUGAAAAUGCUAGAGUUUCACAAUGUCUUCCCCUGUCAGCUUCCUGUGUUUCUGUUGUCUUCCUCUAAAACUUCUCUAUUUUUACUGUCAGGCUGAAUGAGCUGGAACAUUCUCAGGAGGAUCUUUGCCUA